GACGAACGCUGGCGGCGUGCCUAAUACAUGCAAGUAGAACGCACAGUUUAUACCGUAGCUUGCUACACCAUAGACUGUGAGUUGCGAACGGGUGAGUAACGCGUAGGUAACCUGCCUGGUAGCGGGGGAUAACUAUUGGAAACGAUAGCUAAUACCGCAUAAUAUUGAUUAUUGCAUGAUAAUUGAUUGAAAGAUGCUAUUGCAUCACUACCAGAUGGACCUGCGUUGUAUUAGCUAGUAGGUAAGGUAACGGCUCACCUAGGCGACGAUACAUAGCCGACCUGAGAGGGUGAUCGGCCACACUGGGACUGAGACACGGCCCAGACUCCUACGGGAGGCAGCAGUAGGGAAUCUUCGGCAAUGGACGAAAGUCUGACCGAGCAACGCCGCGUGAGUGAAGAAGGUUUUCGGAUCGUAAAGCUCUGUUGUAAGAGAAGAACGGGUGUGAGAGUGGAAAGUUCACACUGUGACGGUAUCUUACCAGAAAGGGACGGCUAACUACGUG
rnacentral:rRNA from 1 species